rnacentral:sRNA from 1 species
UUGCACAAGGGAUAACAGUGGAAAUCCUUUAUACUUUGUCAGGGUUUUUUAACCCUGACAAAGUAUAAAAGAUUUUAGCGUAUAGCCCGACCACUC